rnacentral:rRNA from 1 species
GUGGGGAAUAUUCCGCAAUGGACGAAAGUCUGACGGAGCAACGCCGCGUGAGUGAUGAAGGUUUUCGGACUGUAAAGCUCUGUUGUUUAGGACGAAAGUGCCUGUUGCAAAUAGUUACAGGUAUUGACGGUACUGAACGAGGAAGCCACGGCUAACUACGUGCCAGCAGCCGCGGUAAUACGUAGGUGGCAAGCGUUGUCCGGACUUAUUGGGCGUAAAGAGCAUGUAGGCGGGAAUCUAAGUCUGUUGUGAAAAUGCGGGGCUCAACCCCGUAUUGCGAUGGAAACUGGGUUUCUUGAGUGCAGGAGAGGAAAGGGGAAUUCCCAGUGUAGCGGUGAAAUGCGUAGAUAUUGGGAGGAACACCAGUGGCGAAGGCGCCUUUCUGGACGAAAACUGACGCUGAGGCGCGAAAGCCAGGGGAGCGAACGGGAUUAGAUACCCCGGUAGUCC